rnacentral:rRNA from 1 species
CCUACGGGAGGCAGCAGUGGGGGAUAUUGCACAAUGGGGGAAACCCUGAUGCAGCGACGCCGCGUGUGGGAAGACGGUCCUCUGGAUUGUAAACCACUGUCCCCAGGGACGAAGAUGACGGUACCUGGGGAGGAAGCUCCGGCUAACUACGUGCCAGCAGCCGCGGUAAUACGUAGGGAGCGAGCGUUGUCCGGAAUUACUGGGUGUAAAGGGAGCGUAGGCGGGGAUGCAAGUUGGGUGUAAAAACUACCGGCUCAACUGGGAGUCGCACUCAAAACUGCAGGUCUUGAGUGAAGUAGAGGCAGGCGGAAUUCCUAGUGUAGCGGUGAAAUGCGUAGAUAUUAGGAGGAACACCAGUGGCGAAGGCAGCCUACUGGGCUUUUACUGACGCUGAGGCUCGAAAGUGUGGGGAGCGAACAGGAUUAGAUACCCGAGUAGUC